GACGAACGCUGGCGGCGUGCUUAACACAUGCAAGUCGAACGGAAAGGCCCUGCUUUUGUGGGGUGCUCGAGUGGCGAACGGGUGAGUAACACGUGAGUAACCUGCCCUUGACUUUGGGAUAACUUCAGGAAACUGGGGCUAAUACCGGAUAGGAGCUCCUGCUGCAUGGUGGGGGUUGGAAAGUUUCGGCGGUUGGGGAUGGACUCGCGGCUUAUCAGCUUGUUGGUGGGGUAGUGGCUUACCAAGGCUUUGACGGGUAGCCGGCCUGAGAGGGUGACCGGCCACAUUGGGACUGAGAUACGGCCCAGACUCCUACGGGAGGCAGCAGUGGGGAAUAUUGCACAAUGGGCGGAAGCCUGAUGCAGCAACGCCGCGUGCGGGAUGACGGCCUUCGGGUUGUAAACCGCUUUCGCCUGUGACGAAGCGUGAGUGACGGUAAUGGGUAAAGAAGCACCGGCUAACUACGUGCCAGCAGCCGCGGUGAUACGUAGGGUGCGAGCGUUGUCCGGAUUUAUUGGGCGUAAAGGGCUCGUAGGUGGUUGAUCGCGUCGGAAGUGUAAUCUUGGGGCUUAACCCUGAGCGUGCUUUCGAUACGGGUUGACUUGAGGAAGGUAGGGGAGAAUGGAAUUCCUGGUGGAGCGGUGGAAUGCGCAGAUAUCAGGAGGAACACCAGUGGCGAAGGCGGUUCUCUGGGCCUUUCCUGACGCUGAGGAGCGAAAGCGUGGGGAGCGAACAGGCUUAGAUACCCUGGUAGUCCACGCUGUAAACGGUGGGUACUAGGUGUGGGGUCCAUUCCACGGGUUCCGUGCCGUAGCUAACGCUUUAAGUACCCCGCCUGGGGAGUACGGCCGCAGGGCUAAAACUCAAAGGAAUUGACGGGGCCCCGCACAAGCGGCGGAGCAUGCGGAUUAAUUCGAUGCAACGCGUAGAACCUUACCUGGGUUUGACAUGGAUCGGGAGUGCUCAGAGAUGGGUGUGCCUCUUUUGGGGUCGGUUCACAGGUGGUGCAUGGCUGUCGUCAGCUCGUGUCGUGAGAUGUUGGGUUAAGUCCCGCAACGAGCGCAACCCUUGUUCACUGUUGCCAGCACGUUAUGGUGGGGACUCAGUGGAGACCGCCGGGGUCAACUCGGAGGGAGGUGGGGAUGACGUCAAGUCAUCAUGCCCCUUAUGUCCAGGGCUUCACGCAUGCUACAAUGGCUGGUACAGAGAGUGGCGAGCCUGUGAGGGUGAGCGAAUCUCGGAAAGCCGGUCUCAGUUCGGAUUGGGGUCUGCAACUCGACCUCAUGAAGUCGGAGUCGCUAGUAAUCGCAGAUCAGCAACGCUGCGGUGAAUACGUUCCCGGG
rnacentral:rRNA from 1 species